GGCAUUGUGAAGCAGAGGUGAAGAGUACGUAAAGAAGGCAUUUUAGGACACCACAUCGUUUGAGGACAAGAACCAGGCUGAAAUAAUGACCCUGCUAGCCAGUGAGUGCGAUGAAUGGGGACAGAUAUACCCAUUACUCAGCCGAUUGGCAGCAAUUGCACUUGUCAUUCCGGUGUCAAGUGUCAACUGUGAGAGAGACUUCUCCACAAUGAACAGGGUCAAAUCAGAGCUUCGCAACAGGCUGCAAGGAGAGCACCUGGCUGCCUGCCUGAGGGUCUCCAUCAAUGGGCCGUGUCCAGAGAAAUUUGACUACCAAAGGGCAUUAGAAGUGUUUUUUUCAAAACCCAGCAAAAUUCAAUGUCCAAAUUCAGGGUGCAAAGUUUGCAAAUAGGAGUGUUGUAUAAAUGUGUAUUUUGGAUGUUUUCUUUCAACUAGUCUGAAAGAAGACAAGUUAUGGAAGCAAAAGAGGCCAAAAUGUUUUUGCCUGCCAAAAUGUUGAUGCACCCUCCGAAUCCAUUUUAUUUUUUAUUACAAUUUAGCUUACAGUUUAAUUAUUUAUUAUUUUAUCUGGUAAAGGUAAACACUUUUGCUUUAUUUCUUUGAUGGCUCAGAUGUAUGCGAUAUUUGAUUUUGUGUUUUCACUAUUAGUAUCUAUAUAACCAAUGUGUUUGUGAUUAAAUUGUGUACAAGAGCACACAGUUCCUCAUAGAUCUAGCCUCUUAAUUUUGCUUUCAAAGUGCACCAGAUUGAUGCAUUCAACUUUAAAAUGGUAGAAAAAAAUCUUCCGGGGGAGCAUGCCCCCGGACCCCCCUAGAGGGUCCAACAUUCACCCACCAUAGUCUCAUUAAAUCCUGUGGGAAACACUGCAAAGUUCAACCUGGCCCACGCUUUGCUCGGUGCAGCAAAAUGCUGUCGUGUGUUUCAGAGCGCAAUGGGGCCAUUGUCCAGUUGUGUCUGAAUAGGCCUCAACGGUUGCGAAUACCGUAAUCUGUUUGGCUGUUGAUUUGCC